rnacentral:tRNA from 2 species
GGAGAGAUGGAUGAGUGGUUUAAGUCGCACGCCUGGAAAGCGUGUUUGGGAUAACAUCCCAACGCGGGUUCGAAUCCCGCUCUCUCCG